rnacentral:rRNA from 1 species
GGGGAAUAUUGGACAAUGGGGGGAACCCUGAUCCAGCCAUGCCGCGUGUGUGAAGAAGGCCUUAUGGUUGUAAAGCACUUUAAGCGAGGAGGAGGCUCCCGUAGCUAAUACCUAGGGAUAGUGGACGUUACUCGCAGAAUAAGCACCGGCUAACUCUGUGCCAGCAGCCGCGGUAAUACAGAGGGUGCGAGCGUUAAUCGGAUUUACUGGGCGUAAAGCGUACGUAGGCGGCUUUUUAAGUCGGAUGUGAAAUCCCUGAGCUUAACUUAGGAAUUGCAUUCGAUACUGGGAAGCUAGAGUAUGGGAGAGGAUGGUAGAAUUCCAGGUGUAGCGGUGAAAUGCGUAGAGAUCUGGAGGAAUACCGAUGGCGAAGGCAGCCAUCUGGCCUAAUACUGACGCUGAGGUACGAAAGCAUGGGGAGCAAAC